ACUUCCUCAUUCCAUUCUCUCCCGCAGCCUUGGCCGCCGCCAGGCACCUGAUGCAAGCAGGCCACCGGCCCCCUCCCAUCUUCGGCGGCAGUGUCUCUCCGAGCUCCGGCCCUCCGCCCCCCUCUCCGGCAAGCCCCUGCCAAAGCCAUCAUCUGUCUCCACACGGGCCGCGCGGUCGACAGGCACCCCUGUUCUGCGCAUCCAAGGUAGCAGGGUCGCAGGGGGGCCGGUCAAGCUGCGAGGCAGCCGGCGGCUCCACCUCCGUUGUCCGCUCUGUGGCAGGUUGCAGCCCGCAAGGUAGCUGGCAAUACCUAUGUCAGUCGUCAGAUCCGGUAGUAGAUCUCAGCCUGGCAGCAUUUUCAGAUUGAUGUUUGCUUUAUACGUGGCAAGCCCAUAGAUGUAACAUAUGCAUCUUCAUCACAGUACUAGCAACAGGGCGCCAGAUGCAAGCAACAAUGAUGACAUGAAGCUGAAACUGUGAAGCAAGUGCACAACAAGGCAUAUAAAAUUCAAAGAAAAGAACAAUAUUAGUGGCUGAUUCACCAGAUAUGUUUGUAACUUGUUACUUGUGAUGUACUCCCUAUGUUUCAAAUUAUAAGUUAUUUCAAAAAUCUUGUAGAGUCAAAUCAUUUUAAAAUUUGACCAAAAUUAUAGAGAGAAACACAAAGAUUUAUGACAUCAAAUAUAUAUACUAUAAAAAUAUAGUUAACAAAAAAUUUAAUGAUACUUAUUAGUAUAUUAUCUUGUUAUAUAAAUUGGGUCAAACUUGAAAAAAUUUGACUCUUCAUGAUUUUUGAAAUGACUUAUAAUUUUGAACGGAGGGAGUAUAUUGUAUGGUGAUGAUUUGUAAUUUUUAGUAUGUCUGAAAUCUCAAUGAAAUAAGGUAUGGAUUAGUUUCAGCCCACGGGCCGGCCCGCGGGCCGUCGGGCCACGCGUCGGGCGGGCUCGGUCCAGGUUUUUUGGCCUGCUCCUCGGGUCAGGUUCGGGUUCGGGCCAGCAGAAAAUCAUAUCGGGUUGCUUUCGGCCCGAGCUGAACCCGGCCCGGCCCGUGAUAUGAUCAGGUAUACCGGCAGGCAACUACCGGCGGCAGGGUGCUCGGUGGUCCGUGCUCCCUGAUAGAUCCUCUCUGUGUCUCGCUCUCUCUGAUUAUACCAUCAUUCGGGAUGAUUAGUAUAUAUGUUGUGACGCAAUUGCGUUGUAUGAAAUUUCUUAAUAAGGCUCUCAUGGGUUGUAUGAAUGUAUAAGAAUUCCCCAGGAAAACUAACGUGAGGUCCAACCUCUGGUAAUCUUUU